rnacentral:rRNA from 1 species
CAAAACUCUUUUUGUAUACCCCCUCGCGGGUUUUUUUAUAAUCUGAGCCUUCUCGGCGCCUCUCGUAGGCGUUUCGAAAAUGAAUCAAAACUUUCAACAACGGAUCUCUUGGUUCUGGCAUCGAUGAAGAACGCAGCGAAAUGCGAUAAGUAAUGUGAAUUGCAGAAUUCAGUGAAUCAUCGAAUCUUUGAACGCACAUUGCGCCCGCCAGUAUUCUGGCGGGCAUGCCUGUCCGAGCGUCAUUUCAACCCUCGAACCCCUCCGGGGGGUCGGCGUUGGGGAUCGGCCCUCCCUUAGCGGGUGGCCGUCUCCGAAAUACAGUGGCGGUCUCGCCGCAGCCUCUCCUGCGCAGUAGUUUGCACACUCGCAUCGGGAGCGCGGCGCGUCCACAGCCGUUAAACACCCAACUUCUGAAAUGUUGACCUCGGAUCAGGUAGGAAUACCCGCUGAACUUAAGCAUAUCAAUAAGCGGAGGAAAAAAAACCA